rnacentral:rRNA from 1 species
CACGUAGAUGGCUUCGUAAGUCGGAUGUGAAAUCCCCGGGCUUAACCUGGGAACUGCAUUCGAAACUGCAUUGCUAGAGUGUGGAAGAGGGAAGCGGAAUUCCAGGUGUAGCGGUGAAAUGCGUAGAUAUCUGGAGGAACAUCAGUGGCGAAGGCGGCUUCCUGGUCCAACACUGACAUUCAGGUGCGAAAGCGUGGGGAGCAAACAGGAUUAGAUACCCUGGUAGUCCACGCCAUAAACGAUGAGAACUAGAUGUCGGGAGGGUUAGCCUUCCGGUGUCGCAGCUAACGCGUUAAGUUCUCCGCCUGGGGAGUACGGCCGCAAGGUUGAA